UAUCUCUGUAGAGUCUGCAUAUCAAUAAGCGGAGGAAAAGAAACUAACUAGGAUUCCCUCAGUAACGGCGAGUGAAGCGGGAAGAGCUCAAAUUUGAAAUCUUCAAGGUUCUACCUUGACGAAUUGUAGUUUAAAGAAGUGUUUUCUGUUGGAAGUUUCGGUAAAAGUUCUUUGGAAUAGGACAUCAUAGAGGGUGAGAAUCCCGUAUUUGACCAUUAUUUUCAACUGUGUGAUACACUUUCAAAGAGUCGGAUUGUUUGGGAAUGCAGUCCAAAGUGGGUGGUAAAUUUCAUCUAAAGCUAAAUAUUGGCGAGAGACCGAUAGCGAACAAGUACCGUGAGGGAAAGAUGAAAAGAACUUUGAAAAGAGAGUUAAACAGUACGUGAAAUUGUCAAAAGGGAAGCGUUUGACACCAGUGUUGUUUUCUCGAAAAUCAAUUAAAAUAAUUGGGGAUUUUGUGUUGUAUUGACCUUAUAAGCAUUUCUGCACUUUUUUCAUGUUUAUUUUUAAUGCACUUUUCGUUUAACAAGUCAACAUCAAUUUCUUUUGUUGUAAAAGGGUCAUUGGAAGGUGGCUUUCUUUUCGGAGAAAGUGUUUAUAGCCUUUGACUCCUGCAAUCGGAGAGACUGAGGUCUGCAGCGUAGAUCCUUCUGGAUUAGAUUCAUUUGUGCUAAGUUAUAGCUUUUCAUAGACAACUUGUUGACUAUGUUUUAGUCAUGUAGCUUACUCGCUUAUGUAAUUUUACCUACGCUUAGGAUGUUGAUCUCUCACAGUCGAGC
rnacentral:rRNA from 1 species